GCCUGUAAUCUCCUGCUCUGGGAGGCUGACACCAACAGCAUUCAAGUUCAGGAUUUCUGAACUGCAGUAGCACUAAAGCUGACUGGGUAUCUACACUAGUCUAGCACAAAGAUGGUGAGCCCCUGAGAGCAGGGAGAUACCAGAUUGCCAAAGGAGGAGCUAGUUGGCUCAGGUCAGAAAUGGAGCAGGUCAAAGCUUCUGUGCAAUGGGGAUGGGGCCCAUGAGUGGCCCCUGCACUCCCAGCCUGGGAAAGACAAGGAGACCAAGUUUCA
rnacentral:SRP_RNA from 1 species